rnacentral:rRNA from 1 species
AUACGGAGGGUGCAAGCGUUAUUCGGAAUCACUGGGCGUAAAGGACGCGUAGGCGGGUUGGCAAGUCAGAUGUGAAAUCCUACAGCUUAACUGUAGAACUGCAUUUGAAACUGCUAACCUAGAGUAUGGGAGGGGGAGAUGGAAUUAGUGGUGUAGGGGUAAAAUCCGUAGAUAUCACUAGGAAUACCAAAAGCGAAGGCGAUCUCCUGGAACAUAACUGACGCUAAGGCGUGAAAGCGUGGGGAGCAAACAGGAUUAGAUACCCUAGUAGUCC